rnacentral:lncRNA from 1 species
AAAGAAGCGCGCAGCCUGGGGCAGCAGCAAGUGCUCCUUUUUUCGGUGCGCUGCUUUCCAACUCUGCUGUCCUUUGAGGCUUUUCCCAACAACCGCACCCAGAGGUCCCAGCGCGGGUCUCAGCAUGCCAGGCCUGGGAGCCCCGCACCACCGCGAGGAUCGCGGUCCCCUACCUGGGUGGAAAAUCCGCAGCGAGCCGGUCAGCAGCUGAACACCGCACUGGCAAAGCCUCACAGGAGACAGCUAUGUCAGGAUCCCUUCAGCAAAAUCUUGCUGGCGUAUGCAAUAGUGUCUGCGUUUGGUGCCUGAUUGUGGGAUGGACCUCCAGAGACAAAAAGACUAGGGAUCAUUUCUCAUUGGCAGUAGUAGCAAAAUACUGGAAAUCACUUUAAUGUUCAACAUGAGGGGAGUUUUGAAGUCAAUAGUGGCGUAUAGCUGCAUGUGACAAGACACUUUAAAGUGUGAAAUCACUUUCUGGAAGAUGAUUUAAUGGAGAGGAGAAUGUAUAUGAGAAAACACAGCCUCCGACCUGAGUGUACAGAGUAACUCCAAUAUGCAGAUGGAGAUGAGAGUUUCGUGCUUCAAGGAAAUGAUUUUAUACAAUUCCUCCAAAGUCUGGAGCAUAGGAUUUCAAUGUAGCCUCUCUACUGCCCUUCCAGGGGUCAGAUAGGCUUGCAAAUGUUUGAAGAGUAACACUGGCCACACAAAGUCAUCCAGACAGACUAGCAGAGUCUCAGAGAACAGAUGGCCGAUGAGAGAAU